AUGUGAGUUAUUCAGUUGUGAAUUGGAUAGGAACAAACGAUAGCCAAACUAAAUGUAAAUAUUAAUCUAAACCAGCCAGACUUAAAGAGUUAUCAUGGCUUUUGAAAUUUGUGUUUGUCUGUCGAUGUAAAUAGCUAACUUAUGCCUCAAUCAUCUUCAAAAGAUAUCAUUAUAUCAUAUAGAAUUGAGUUCUAAAUUAAGUCCCAAUAUAAAAUGUAAUUUAUUUUUCCGUUUAGUAAAACUUUAACAAUUAUAUAUUAUAUAAUAUGUCAAGCAAAUGUAAGUAGUUCUAAUGCAUGCAAAAACAUUUUGCUAAACUUGUAUGCUGUUAUUUAUUGCAAAUAUUUAGAUCAAAGACAAAGCUUACUUUAAGUUAUUAUGUAAUGAAACGCUGAUUAAUAUAAACCAUGUUCUUUUAACAAACGAAAGCUUGUUUCGCAUGUCCAAGCAAGCUUUAGCCAAAUUAUAUAGUACAUAUAAAUCUAAACCAGCGUUUUACUGUUGGAUCAUUUCAACUUUGUUAGUUUUAAAAGUAGCGCCCAGUCAAAUAAUGUAAAUAAAAGCUGCGUAUUAAUAUCGUUUCCCGGUGUUUGAUUUCAUUUCACACAAGCUGCCGCAUUCAUAACAUUUCGAAAUAUCUGAGACUCAAUGUUAAGUUCACACAACGUCACUUAUCUGGUAAAUCUUUGCUGGCUUUGAGCGAAUUUCUUGCCUUCACAUAUCUACGACAUUUCCUACAAUAUACAGUAGUAAGAUAGAAAUUAGUGAAACUGGUAGUUGGGAUAGCCAGGUUGGAAAUAGGUAAGGUAGGUUAGAUAGGUUAGGUAGGUAGGUAGGCAGGGCAGGUUCGAUAGGUAGGUAGGUAG
rnacentral:lncRNA from 1 species